rnacentral:rRNA from 1 species
CCUACGGGAGGCAGCAGUAGGGAAUAUUGCUCAAUGGGGGAAACCCUGAAGCACCAACGCCGCGUGGAGGAUGAAGGUUUUCGGAUUGUAAACCCCUUUUGUUAGAGAAGAAAAUGACAGUAUCUAACGAAUAAGCACCGGCCAACUCCGUGCCAGCAGCCGCGGCAAUACGGAGGGUGCAAGCGUGACUCGGAAUCACUGGGCGUAAAGGGCGGGUAGGCGGGAUAGCAAGUCAGAUGUGAAAGGCUAUGGCUUAACCAUAGAACUGCAUAUGAAACUGUGAUUCUAGAGUAUGGGAGAGGUAGGUGGAAUUCUUGGUGUAGGGGUGAAAUCCGUAGAGAUCAAGAGGAAUACUCAUUGCGAAGGCGACCUGCUAGAACAUAACUGACGCUGAUGCGCGAAGGCGUGGGGAGCAAACGGGAUUAGAUACCCUUGUAGUC